UAAAUUGCCCUGCAGGAAGGAGAUAUGCGAUGAGAGCAAACAGGACACUUGCACACAGCAGACAGGAAACAGAAAAAUAUCCAUGCCAGCUAUUGGUAGCUUACUGAACACUUAAUGACUGAUUGUGAUAUUGAAUAUGUAAAUUAAGGCAGACAUAUUUAGGGUCAGGAGAGAGGAAUGACAAUGGGAUGAUUAAAAGCCCCAUGCUAUGGUUGGGAAGGAAAGAUAUUCUGCUCCCUAUUACAGGUAUGGCUGAGAGAACAUGUAUAAGGAGCCCAAAUGAAGAAAGAAUUAUGCUGUGGUUUUUGAAGAGGAAUGAGGCAUGAUAUGAAUAUAACGAGAAAAAAUAAAGAGGUUUUAAACAGACUCAGAGAGGAAAUGACUGUACAAGCCACUAGAUCUGUCUGAAACCAGAGAUGUGGACUCCAAGCUGACGGUGAAAGUCUGACUGAAAACAGAUUUAAUCUUGAUGGAUGGCUGUUUGUGGAACUUCUUGGCAAGUGAGGAGAGAGACUCCAGUCUGGAGAGCCCACUCAGUGAGGGAGGCAGCAGGCAAGAGGACAAGAGCCCAUGAAUAAGUUCCUCCAGAGACACCUGCACUGUAGAUAACAGACAGCUCUCAGCAGUAUCAAAAAGGAUAUUUUGAGGGGGCUGGGGGGCUGUGCAGUGCUUGGAGCAGCUCAGAAUCGGUGUGUUUUCUGAAAAUAGUCCUAGAAAUGGUGAUACCAUGGACAAGGAGAGAUUGGAUUAUCAACUUUCAUUUGCACUUGUGAAUGAUAUUCUUUUUACGUUGAAAAGUUAACUCUUAUUUGUGCUGUAACAAAAUGUAGCACUGUGGCUUUUUAAUUUUUUAAUUAUUAUUAUUGAUUUAUUUUGUUGGUUCCUUCCUUCUUUCCUUCUUUCUUUCUUUGGCUGGCUUGCUUGCUUGCUUGCUUGCUUGAUGAAAAAUCCUUAAAUACGUUUUUGGGGGCUCUUUUUAAGGAAAUGAUCUAAGUGGAUAGACCUCAAAAUUCCAACUAACUUGGAGGUCCUUCACAUACUCAUCUUUGCAUACAACAAAUGACUGCUUUAGCUGUCAUUACUGACUAUGUUUUAUACUUGACACAUGGAUCUGAUUCAUAGUUUUAACUAAUAAGUGAAUACUAGAAAAAUGACAAGCAAUGUUAUGAUUUCUAGUCUCCUCCCUUUUUGAGGAAAUGUUUGCUCUGAGCAUCUCCUUAACAGAGACAACUCACAGUGCAUUCUGUGAAUGAACGCACAGAGGCCUCUUAUUUUCUUCUUUGACUUUCCGUGUAUCAAAGAAAGGAAGUUUUGGACAGGAUAAUGAUAAUGAUGAGACACAGCUGUGCUUCUUGUAGACCAAGAGUCAAAAAACAAAUCCCUGUAUGUAAAACUCAAAAAGGUUAGUGGGAAAAAUCAAUUAACUAAGUUCAUAUUUAUAAACAGAAAUGUUCCAUGGAGCAAAACUGACUGUGGACCAUCUGCUUGUAAAUUUUGGACAAAAUUCAGUAUUGCCUAGCGUUCCUAAACCUAGGCCCUCUGAGAGUUCACUUACAAAAGCAAAUAAAAUCACUUUUCAGUGUACAACAUUCUCUCCUUUCUAAGUUAUUUGUAGGUGGAAAUAUUUCCAUGAAGAUUUCUCCCCAUGUGUCAAAAUGAGCUCCAGUGUCAUCCAUAAUAAAGUUCAUGAUGAAACCAUUUUUGGCAUGCUGUAUGUAUAUUACUUCUG